rnacentral:rRNA from 1 species
UAACGCGUAGGAACCUGUCGCACAUGGGGGAUAACGCUGGGAAACCGGCGCUAAUACCGCAUGUGGUCAGAGAUGAAGAAAGCAGCAAUGCGCUGUGUGAGGGGCCUGCGUCCGAUUAGCUGGUUGGUGGGGUAAUGGCCUACCAAGGCGAUGAUCGUUAGCUGGUCUGAGAGGAUGGUCAGCCACACUGGGACUGAGACACGGCCCAG